UUUCCCAUUUGACUACCAUAUUUUCUCCUAAAAGAUUUUAGUGGCUAUGCUUAUGGGACAGAUUAAAAUUGCCAUGAUCUAAAGAGGAAGGAUUUGUGACCUCUUCUUAUAUUAAAUGACUAAACAGAAAGAA